UACGUAGGGGGCUAGCGUUGUCCGGAAUCAUUGGGCGUAAAGCGCGUGUAGGCGGUCCGGUAAGUCCGCUGUGAAAGUCGGGGGCUCAACCCUCGGAUGCCGGUGGAUACUGUCGGGCUUGAGUACGGAAGAGGCGAGUGGAAUUCCGGGUGUAGCGGUGGAAUGCGUAGAGAUCCGGAAGAACACCGGUGGCGAAGGCGGUCUGCUGGGGUAAUGCUGACACUGGAUGCGCGACAGCGUGGGGAGCAAACAGG
rnacentral:rRNA from 1 species